rnacentral:rRNA from 1 species
GAUGAACGCUGGCGGCGUGCCUAAUACAUGCAAGUCGAGCGAACGGACGAGAAGCUUGCUUCUCUGAUGUUAGCGGCGGACGGGUGAGUAACACGUGGAUAACCUACCUAUAAGACUGGGAUAACUUCGGGAAACCGGAGCUAAUACCGGAUAAUAUUUUGAACCGCAUGGUUCAAAAGUGAAAGACGGUCUUGCUGUCACUUAUAGAUGGAUCCGCCCUGCAUUAGCUAGUUGGUAAGGUAACGGCUUACCAAGGCAACGAUGCAUAGCCGACCUGAGAGGGUGAUCGGCCACACUGGAACUGAGACACGGUCCAGACUCCUACGGGAGGCAGCAGUAGGGAAUCUUCCGCAAUGGGCGAAAGCCUGACGGAGCAACGCCGCGUGAGUGAUGAAGGUCUUCGGAUCGUAAAACUCUGUUAUUAGGGAAGAACAUAUGUGUAAGUAACUGUGCACAUCUUGACGGUACCUAAUCAGAAAGCCACGGCUAACUACGUG